rnacentral:lncRNA from 1 species
AUGCGUUAUCUCUUAUUUAUCAUUACACGCUAUAUUCUCCACGUAGCUAUACAUAUAUCUAGCUGCGUAUCGUUCCACGUGUUGACUUCCUAAGAUGUUAGAACCAUAACCCCAGAAAAUUCGACUGUUUUUUUUUUAAGAACGUCUAGGGCCCUGGGGGGCUACCGGCUAAGACGAAGCCGAUUCAGAUUGGAGCAAAUCGAACAUCGAUUUGAUUCUGUCGUACCGCGUAAGCAGCCAAGAUGGCGAUCCCCGAUUCGUGACGUCACAUGAAGUUCGGCAAGCCGAUUGAACGAAUGAUUUCAGUACUUUUGACACUAAAUCGCUACCGCGUAAAAAAUCGAAGUUCGGCGCCUGAAGCCGAUUCCCAUUGGAAGUGUCAGUUGAAGCCGGGCACUUUUCAGUAACCGUGAUCAAUUUUAAUUUCUUAUUUUCACUGUUUUUCACCAAUAUUAGGAGCUAUUUACGGUGGGCGACAAAUUUUAGGAACAUCUUAAUCAAUAUAAAAUUAAUAUCGGCGUGGAUUUUCGUGUUUAAAUACCUAAAUACAGUGUCAUGGAGAUAGUCGUUUUAUGGGCUGCUGCGGAAGAAAAUGUCUUCAGAAUCUUGAGCAAAUCGAUUGCAGGAUACUUCGAGAGAAAAGCCAGUAUAUACUUCUCACAGAGAGUAGCUACAUUAAUAAUUUUAGAUUAUCAAAAGACGCAUUUCGGACUUUGUAUCAUGACUUAGGACCAUAUCUAGAGGUCCAAUGCUCUACAACUGUGCAAUCGACUUUAAGUGACAAAUGCCCUCAAUCAGCCUGCAAUCGUGAGAUAAUAUAUCAAGUUUCCUCGGACAAAAACUGAGCAUGUAGAAGUCUCCAGAGGUUUUAAUGACAAAUUUGGAUUUCUUGGAGUACUUGGAUGCAUCCACUGCACACACAUUGCCAUUAUCCAACCUCACAAGUGGGAAGAGGCCUUCUGCAAUAGCAAGUAUUACCAUUCAUUGCAUGUUAUGUUGGUUUGUGAUGGAGAUAUGUGCAUUACAUUUGUGAUGCAUCCAAUGGGAGUGUUAGUGCUAGACUGCUAGCCAAGAUAACCAUAUUUGGAACAGCACUUUGAGAAGGGAAAAGGAACAUCUCCUUAAUUUAAAUAUGUUUAAGUUCAUUAAGUGGACUUGUGUGGUCCUUGAAAUGUAAAUUACAAAGUCAGUGUGGUGUAAUCAAAAGUGGCAGAUUUGUUAUUCAAUAAUACAACAUCUAAACAAACCUUUCUUUAUUGGCAUCCAAUAAACUAUUUUCAUUA